CUCCUGUGGCAACAGAGAGUCCGGUCCACUACAUCACGCGGGGCUCUGGCGUUUUCUCAAUGUUGAUUUCGUUUACCAUCCUUAGUGCAGCUUCGGUUUGAUUCAUUUUAAGGAAAAGGGUGAGACAGAGGUGAUUUAUCUCUGCUGUUUUGGGGACCCAGAAGAAAGAACCCAUAUCCCACAUCCCUCCCAACGUUUGCAAGAGUGCUGGUGCUUGAGGGUAUGGUUUCCUUGGCAUCCGAUAAAAGAAGGGCAGCGUCUCCUCCGUCCACCGCUCUCCCCUCCCGUCGUCUCCUCUGGGAAGGUAUUUCCGCACACCCCGCGUGGGGGAAAGUUCUUCGGUUCUACGUUCUCUCUUCUCUUUUCCUCUUUGCAUCCACGCUUUCCUUCUCUUUCACCUCCAUCCUCUUCUCUCCUGUUUACCCAGUAGAAAGGUUUCAUGGCUGGGCGAUGGUUCAGUCCCCUUCCUGCCUCGUCUCUUUCUAUCAUCAUCCUCUCCCAGAUAUGCAUCCAUGCUUUCUCCAUCCAGAAACCUUCCCACCCUUCUAGCAAUCGCUUACUCUCUUCACCUCUGCCGUCCUGGCCUCCACUU